ACGGCCCAGACUCCUACGGGAGGCAGCAGUGGGGAAUAUUGCACAAUGGGCGCAAGCCUGAUGCAGCGACGCCGCGUGAGGGAUGAAGGCCUUCGGGUUGUAAACCUCUUUCAGCAGGGAAGAAGCGCAAGUGACGGUACCUGCAGAAGAAGCACCGGCUAACUACGUGCCAGCAGCCGCGGUAAUACGUAGGGUGCGAGCGUUGUCCGGAAUUAUUGGGCGUAAAGAGCUCGUAGGCGGCCUGUCGCGUCGGAUGUGAAAGCCCGGGGCUUAACCCCGGGUCUGCAUUCGAUACGGGCAGGCUAGAGUUCGGUAGGGGAGAUCGGAAUUCCUGGUGUAGCGGUGAAAUGCGCAGAUAUCAGGAGGAACACCGGUGGCGAAGGCGGAUCUCUGGGCCGAUACUGACGCUGAGGAGCGAAAGCGUGGGGAGCGAACAGGAUUAGAUACCCUGGUAGUCCACGCCGUAAACGUUGGGAACUAGGUGUGGGCGACAUUCCACGUCGUCCGUGCCGCAGCUAACGCAUUAAGUUCCCCGCCUGGGGAGUACGGCCGCAAGGCUAAAACUCAAAGGAAUUGA
rnacentral:rRNA from 1 species